UUAAGCAUAUUACUAAGCGGAGGAAAAGAAACCAACGGGGAUUCCCAUAGUAACUGCGAGUGAAAUGGGAAGAGCCCAUCGCUGAAUCCGACUGCUGGCAACGGUGGUCGGAGCUGUAGCGUGAAGCUGGUUAUUAUCCACUUGACGUGCUAGUGUAAGUUCUCCUGAGUGAGACUCCAUGCUAGGAAGGGUGCAAGCCCCGUGUCACGAGCCGUCUAAGUGGAUACAAGCUAGCGAAGAGUCGCCUUGUUUGCGAGUACAAGGUGAAGUCGGUGGUAAACGCCAUCGAAGGCUAAAUAUGACCACGAGUCCGAUAGCGAACAAGUACAGUGAUGGAAAAUUGAAAAGAACUUUGAAGAGAGAGUGAAACAGUGCGUGAAACCGCUCAGAGGCAAGCAGAUGGGGCCUCGAAGGCAGAGCAGCGAAUUCAGUUGGUAGUCCGUGGCGGUGGCUGGUAUGUGAGAUUGCAAAACUCUGGCUGGUUUGCUUAGCUACGGCUGCUGAUGCACUUUCGUUGUUCGUACGCCUCCGCCGUUGACCGGCAUCCGCCUGGCUUGCGCCGUGGAGCCUUUCUCCCCUUAAAAGGAGUCGGUGUCUCACUGCAGGCUGUGGCGCGUUUGCUGGUCAACCGGUCAAGUCAGCAUGUACCAGCGUAAGCGUUGGGUCCGGCGCUCUUGUCCGCGGCACAGUGGAUGACGAACGCAAGUUCGGCUCUGCUGUACGUGGCGGAAUCGCUAAGGCUUUCAACGUGGCACAUUGUAGAUUCGGAGGUGAGUAGACGGCUGCCCAUCUAACCCGUCUUGAAACACGGAACCAAAGGA
rnacentral:rRNA from 1 species